UCUCUCUCUCACUCACUCUGUUUCACUUCAAAAAAAAAACAGAGCAUUAGUUCUCUAACUCUGUUCUUCCUCCAUCAACCACCUCCAGACGUCGGAUCACUCCCUUUGGCUUCGCCUGAGGCUGCUCUACCUACUGGACGUCGUCUUUUUCCCCGGCACAGCCUCAAGGUUUGGCAAACCAGCUCGAACCCGGUUGCACCCGAAAACGAACUAACUCAUCCUCCUCGUGUUUCCGGCCACCAAUUCCCCCCAAACUUCAUCCCCGAACUCGCCUCAACGUCCUGAAGCUCCCAGAAGUGGCCUUGCACGGCGGCGCUACUCGUGGUGGCGGCUGGAAGCCAGACCCGAUCAAAUCGAAAACCGAAGCUUCGAUCGAUAUAUCUCGCGCUACAGGACGUUGUUUUGAGUGUUUCUUGAACUGGUGAACUCAGAGUGAGGAUCUGAACAACUUUCCAGAAGGUAUCGAGGCCUGAAGUUGCAGUUUUUACGUCGAACUAGGAGCUCGCCGGUUUCUGGGUUUUUCCGGCCAACCGACUGGUUUGAGGUAAUUUCUAUUCCUUCCGGUCAUUUUCAGACUUCGUGCUAGUUAUGAAAGUUGUCAAGCAUGAUGAGAGGAAGAAGAGCAGCCCGGCCCCGACACCAUUGGUGGUGGUCGGCGGCGGCUCUGCCACUAACUCCGGCGGCCCUUUCCGGCCACCUCCGGGGAUCAAAAAUAUGGUUUCUGUACAUUUUCAGAUUCUAUAUUUCAAUACGAUCAUUUUGAUAUAUUAUACACAAUUUUUGGAUAUCAUAUGAUUAAGUUAUGAAUUUUACGAUUUCGAUCGAUUUCGAUCGUUCGAUUUGUGAUAUGUGAAGAUCGGACCGUCCGAUGGACUUGUAGUUUUGAUAUGUUGAUCUUAUGACUGUCCCAGUGGCUUUGUGUGGUCAUGGGCGAAGAUCCGACCGUUGGAUCUUCGUAUAAUUGCUAAACAGUGAUUAGGGAGGCGAUUCGUGAGAAUCCGUCCGUUGGAUUUUCGUAUAAAUUAGCGGAGAUGUUAGUAAGGACAAUUCAGGAAGAUCUGACCGUUGGAUCUUCGUGAUGAUUUUUGGAGGAUGAUCCUAAAGGCGAUCUGUGAGGAUCCGACCGUUGGAUCAUCAUUUAAUUUCGAUCCGACCGUUGGAUUGUCGUUUGAUUUUGUUUUUGAGUUAUUGGCUAAGUUAAGGUCAUGUCUGAUUAGGUGAUCGACGGUUUGAUUUGGCGGACGAUUCGUGAAAGUGUAUUUUGAGCUGUUAAGAAGACGCAGCGGGAAUUUAGAGCGGGUAAUCCUACAGGACAGGAGAAUCAGGAAGGUGAUCGAGCUGUGUAGAGUAGCUGCUUGUGAUACUCUGAUUUUAUGUUGUGAGGUUCGUUAUGCUCGUUUAGAGUUUUACAAUUUUACUUUGUAAGAGGGAAUUGUAAUAAUUAACUCGAAGUUUACCGAUUUGGAAAUUUUGUGUAAGUGGUGGAGUUGUUUCUGAGAAAAGAA